rnacentral:misc_RNA from 1 species
GAUGAAGAACGCAGCGAAAUGAGAUAAGUAAUGUGAAUUGCAGAAUUCAGUGAAUCAUCGAAUCUUUGAACGCACAUUGCGCCCCUUGGUAUUCCGAGGGGCAUGCCUGUUCGAGCGUCAUUUUGACCACUCCCGCUUGCGGGGUCUUGGGCCUUCGCCUCUGGGCGGGCCUUAAAAUCAGUGGCGGUGCCGUCCGGCUCUAAGCGUAGUAAAUCUCCUCGCUAUAGGGUUCCGGAGGGAUGCUGGCCAACAACCCCCAACUUUUAAGGUUGACCUCGGAUCAGGUAGGGAUACCCGCUGAACUUAAGCAUAUCAAUAAGCGGAGGA